rnacentral:rRNA from 1 species
UCCUACGGGACGCAGCAGUGAGGGAUAUUGGUCAAUGGGGGAAACCCUGAACCAGCAACGCCGCGUGAGGGAAGACGGUUUUCGGAUUGUAAACCUCUGUCCUCUGUGAAGAUAAUGACGGUAGCAGAGGAGGAAGCUCCGGCUAACUACGUGCCAGCAGCCGCGGUAAUACGUAGGGAGCAAGCGUUGUCCGGAUUUACUGGGUUUAAAGGGUGCGUAGGCGGGCUUUUAAGUCAGCGGUAAAAAUUCGGGGCUCAACCCCGUCCGGCCGUUGAAACUGGGGGCCUUGAGUGGGCGAGAAGAAG